AGUGAACGCUGGCGGUAGGCCUAAUACAUGCAAGUCGAACGGCAGCACAGUAAGAGCUUGCUCUUACGGGUGGCGAGUGGCGGAUGGGUGAGGCAUACAUCGGAAUCUACUUUUUCGUGGGGGAUAACGUAGGGCAACUUAUGCUAAUACCGCAUAUGAUCUACGGGUGAAAGCAGGGGAUCUUCGGACCUUGCGCGACUCAAUGAGACGAUGUCGGAUUAGCUAGUUGGCAGGGUAAAGGCCCACCAAGGCAACGAUCCGUAGCCGGUCUGAGGGGAUGAUUCGCCCAAACGGAAACUAGAACACGUCCCGAACUCCAAGGGAGGCAGGAGGUGGGAAAAUUGCACAAUGGGCGCAAGCCUGACCCAGCCAUACCGCGUGAGUGAAGAAGGCCUUCGGGUUGUAAAGCCCUGUUGUUGGGAAAGAAAAUCAGCAGAUUAAUACCCCGCUGUUCUGACGGUACCCAAAGAAUAAGCACCGGCUAACUUCGUG
rnacentral:rRNA from 1 species